ensembl:lncRNA novel transcript
AUAAAGACAUGAUCAUCUGGAAACAUCUGCAAGAAAAUCUACCAAAAUGAAGACACACUCACAAAAUGACCUUCCUCCUACAUCCCAGCUCUUGUCAUCUUAAAGGCAUUCACUCCAUGGAGGCCCCAGGAGGCGAAUGGCUUCUCUCAUCUUGGGCUGCAGCUUUGCUGAUGACUUCUGGCUCCUCAUGGAAAACAGAAGUGCAGGGCAUGCUUUUCCAUUAAGCUCUUUCUGCUAAAGCAGAUUCGAAGUUAAGAGAAGCAGGCACUGCUCAUUCUUGUCCAACAUUCAUGGACAAAGAACUCUGGGCUUCAGUCUUGUCAACCCUCGUGCAGGGCUCUGCUCAUUAGCAGGAAUCUUCAGAUGACUCAUAUUCCUGGGCAUUUGAUCUUUUGUGAUAAGAAGAACCAGCCUGGCUCACUGACUGAGUGAACACUUCAGUGGUCUGUAGUCCCUCAGUUGCACUGGACACAGUUGAGGCCCUCAGGAGCCACGCGGGGUCAGCGGUGGUGGCAUUGGGCAGAGCAGCUCACCGAGUUCCAGAAGCUGCAUGCCACCCAUUCCGAGUCUGUGACCCUCCACAGCCUGGCCCAC